GUCUCAGUAAGUUAUUAAGACUAGGUGUUUUCAAAACACCAAGAGAAGGGGGUGUCCUGGGAAG
rnacentral:tRNA from 1 species